UGUAGCCACUAUGAAACUGCUUUCUUUGUCUUUAUUAACAUUCGGCAUUUCAGAUAAACUGCGUUCCAAUCUCUUCAUUAGAGACGAGGAAAGAAAACUGUAGAACAUGAACAUGAACAUGCGAGGGAACCAUACAGUAUUCAAGCCAUAAUUCAUAUACUCACCCAGGUUACCACCACCUUCCAAGUGGCACGGAGACUUACAGGAUUGGACUGGGAGGAGGUACUUGUGGGAAAGGGAGAACUCUCGUUCUGGCAGACUGGUUUCGGACUCCACACAGGGUGAGUACCAGAUGUUGCGUAGAACACUGAAGUGAAAACAUUACCAUGUCCCUUGGACUUAAGAUCGGAAACAACCCCUGAAACAGGUUUUUAUUUGAGCCACCAUACUGACAACAAUUUCCAGAAGUAGUUCGAGACAAUUUAUGGGAUUCGUGAGAAUCCCAACUGGGGUUGUUUACUUCGGCGGAUGUAAUUGAUGGUGUUCGAAAAAGAGGGUGCACCAAUUUACUAUUACUAUACC